rnacentral:piRNA from 1 species
UGAUGGUCCCCAUAGCAAAAGUCUGAGU